CGGGGCAGAGCGCGGCCAGCUCCAGGGCGCGGAGGUCGCGGCGGGCCAAGCGCUCGGGACUGGCGCACAGCACCUCGCCCACCACGCUGACCGAGCUGAGGGCCUCCAGCCACUGCUUGAGCGGCACCAGCUCGCAGGUGCAGUCCCAGGGGUUGAGCUUCAGGUCGAUCUGCACGAUGGCGUGCAGGUGCUCCAGCACCCCGGCCACCGGCAGCGCCAAGAAGUGGUUGUUGCGGAGGUUGAGCCGGGCCAGCGAGGUGCCGGCAAAGGCGUCGGUGGGCAGAGUGCGCAGCAGGUUGUCGUUGAGGAAGAGCAGCUUCAAGUUGGGCAUGAGGCUGAAGGCCGCCGGCUGGAUUUCCCUGAUCAGGUUGUACUCGAAGUACAGGUCCUUGCCGUGGAAGUGGAAGGGGGUCUCGCAGGUGAUGUCCCCCACCAAGGCGGUGUAGGGGAUGCGCUCCAGCCAGCUCUUCAGCUGCACGAUCUCACACGUGCAGUUCCACGGGUUCUCCUCCAGCUGAAUCUCCAUCAGGCUCCUGCCAAUGUGGUCCAACAUCCCGCGGUACGAGAGCACUUUCAACCUGUUCCCGCGCAAGUCCAAGUGGGUUAAAGACACGGACUUAAAUAGGUUGGUGGGAAGCAUGGGGAUGAGAUUGUCAUUUAGGAUAAGGACCCUCAAUUUACUUAGGUUUCGAAACGCCCCGCUUUCAAUCCGCUUAAUGACAUUGUAAUCUGCCUGCAGAUAUUCCAGACUUUCCAAACCCAGGAAAGUGUCGUUUCUGAAAAUGUCCAAUUUGUUCUCAUGCAAAUACAACCUCUUCAGGACCCGGAGCCCAUUAAAAGCCCCCGUCUGAAUGUCCUGCAGUGCAUUGUUCCCAAGGUUAAUGGACACAGCGUUGUUUAAGUGAAGAAAACUGUUGGUGUACAAUUUCCUCAUGGAAUUCCUCUGCAGAUAAAGUUUAAAAGGUCUCGACCACGACUCUGUUAUCUGACUAAUAUUUAUAAAUCCCUUGUUGUCGCAAUGUAUAUGGAAAAGGCUCUCCUUCACUUCACAGUAGCAUGGAUCAAAGCAAGGCUCAUCCAGUUCCUCCGAGUCCUCUAUCAAGGGAAUGGGUGUAGUCCAUGCUAGAGCAAUUGUGCUUAGAAGAAUUAUCCACCACAUCCUUCCUCUGUGAAGCGUCUCUGCUGAGGAAGGUUUCAUCAUUUGUUGACGUUUACAAAACUGCAAUGGGAAACAAAAUGCAGAUUUUCAGUAUCCCUGUCCUGCCCCGCUCCGUGCACUGAGCCCCUACCUGCCAGGCUCCUGCAAAGUUCAGCAAUGCUUGGCUGGAUGUUCACAACACGCUCUAAGGGUGUCGGAUGCGCGAGCCUUGCCCUGAUUUAUACCUAAGAGAUGUUAGAGGUUUAAUCACGCGAUAUCAGCCUCCCUCCGCCCCCCGGGAAGUGCCACCUAUAUAACGAGGAGAGCACAUGCAGACCCUACAGCAACACGAGCACACAGCAGGACGUGUUGCGUCUCUGCAUGUGUUCCACCACGGCACCAGCGUUCACAACCACACAUCGUUACUACUUGUUUGCAAGGCUUAGAGCCAUCAUAUCGCCCGCAUGGAUACAGAGAUAUCUCAUCGGUGGGAUUCUCUGCUGUCGCACUACAGCUUUCAAGUUGCCCAAGGAGGCUGUGGAUGCCCCAUCCCUGGAGGCAUUCAAGGCCAGGCUGGAU
ensembl:lncRNA